ensembl:lncRNA
GAAAUGUAGUGUACUAUAUAGGGAAUAAGAUGAAAUGUAGUGCACUAUAUAGGGAAUAGGGUGAAAUGUAGUGCACUAUAUAGGGAAUAAGAUGAAAUGUAGUGCACUAUAUAGGGAAUAGGGUGAAAUGUAGUGCACUAUAUAGGGAAUAAGGUGAAAUGUAGUGCACUAUAUAGGGAAUAAGGUGAAAUGUAGUGCACUAUAUAGGGAAUAAGGUGAAAUGUAGUGCACUAUAUAGGGAAUAAGGUGAAAUGUAGUGCACUAUAUAGGGAAUAAGGUGAAAUGUAGUGCACUAUAUAGGGAAUAGGUGUCACAGGCGUCCUCCUCUUCAUCUGAAGAGGAGAGGAGAGAAGGAUCAGAGGACCAACAUGCGGCGUGGUAUGUGUUCAUGAUGAAUAUUUAAUAAAAGAAAGCACUGAACACUGAAUACAAACUAUUCAA